rnacentral:rRNA from 1 species
CCUACGGGAGGCUGCAGUGGGGAAUAUUGCACAAUGGGGGAAACCCUGAUGCAGCGACGCCGCGUGAGUGAAGAAGUAUUUCGGUAUGUAAAGCCCUUUCAGCAGGGAAGAAGAAAGACGGUACCUGACUAAGAAGCCCCUGCUAACUACGUGCCAGCAGCCGCGGUAAUACGCAGGGGGCAAGCGUUAUCCGGAUUUACUGGGGGUAAAGGGAGCGUAGACGGGUGUGCAAGUCUGGAGUGAAAGCCCAGGGCACAACCCUGGGACUGCUUUGGAAACUGUGGAUCUAGAGUGCUGGAGAGGUAAGUGGAAUUCGUGGUGUAGCGGUGAAAUGCGUAGAUAUUAGGAGGAACACCAGUGGCGAAGGCGGCUUACUGGACAGUAACUGACGUUGAGGCUCGAAAGCGUGGGGAGCAAACAGGAUUAGAUACCCGUGUAGUC